rnacentral:rRNA from 1 species
AUUGAACGCUGGCGGAAUGCUUUACACAUGCAAGUCGAACGGCAGCACGGGGGCAACCCUGGUGGCGAGUGGCGAACGGGUGAGUAAUACAUCGGAACGUGCCCAGUCGUGGGGGAUAACGUAGCGAAAGCUACGCUAAUACCGCAUACGAUCUCUGGAUGAAAGCGGGGGACCGCAAGGCCUCGCGCGAUUGGAGCGGCCGAUGGCAGAUUAGGUAGUUGGUGGGGUAAAGGCUCACCAAGCCGACGAUCUGUAGCUGGUCUGAGAGGACGACCAGCCACACUGGGACUGAGACACGGCCCAGACUCCUACGGGAGGCAGCAGUGGGGAAUUUUGGACAAUGGGCGCAAGCCUGAUCCAGCCAUUCCGCGUGCAGGAUGAAGGCCCUCGGGUUGUAAACUGCUUUUGUACGGAACGAAAAGGCUCUGGUUAAUACCUGGGGCUCAUGACGGUACCGUAAGAAUAAGCACCGGCUAACUACGUGCCAGCAGCCGCCGUAACAC